rnacentral:rRNA from 1 species
AUGGAGAUCCACAAGGAGGGUGCGCAGCAAGGGCGGGCACCGGAGGCUGCGGAGGCGCCGGAGCAGUGGCGUGGCGCCGUGGAGGCCCCGCUGCCGGGCACGCCGGCGGGCGCCGCGUGGGCUCAUGUCGCCAGCUUCUUCUCCGCGCACCUCUACCUGCCGGGCAUCGACGUGUGCGAGCGCGUAUCGGGAGCCAGCAGCGAGGAGGACGAAGAUGGCAGGCUGGUGAUCACCCCCGGCUGCGUCCGGCACGUGGCCUCGAGCGCCGCGGGGCUGUGGGCGCGCGAGGAGCUGCUGGAGGCAGACCACGCCGCGCGGCGCCUCCGCUACGCCGUCGUCGACAGCAACAUGGGGUUCGGCCGCUACGUCGCCACGCUCCGCGUCCUGGACCUCGACGGCGGCGAAGGCGGGUGCAUGAUCUCGUGGGCGUUCGAGUGCGACGCCGUGAAGAGCGAGGGGUGGAGCGAGGCGGCGCUCGUGGCGCGCCUCGGCGCCAGCGUCAAGGGCAUGGCCGAGAGGGUGCAACAGCUGGCCGCGGUAGCUCAGUAG